rnacentral:rRNA from 1 species
AGAGUUUGAUCCUGGCUCAGGACGAACGCUGGCGGCGCGCCUAACACAUGCAAGUCGAACGGAGCUUAGAGAGCUUGCUUUUUAAGCUUAGUGGCGAACGGGUGAGUAACGCGUGAGUAACCUGCCCUAGAGUGGGGGACAACAGUUGGAAACGACUGCUAAUACCGCAUAAGCCCACGGUGCCGCAUGACACUGAGGGAAAAGGAUUUAUUCGCUUUAGGAUGGACUCGCGUCCAAUUAGCUAGUUGGUGAGGUAACGGCCCACCAAGGCGACGAUUGGUAGCCGGACUGAGAGGUUGAACGGCCACAUUGGGACUGAGACACGGCCCAGACUCCUACGGGAGGCAGCAGUGGGGGAUAUUGCACAAUGGGGGAAACCCUGAUGCAGCGACGCCGCGUGGAGGAAGAAGGUUUUCGGAUUGUAAACUCCUGUCGUUAGGGACGAUAAUGACGGUACCUAACAAGAAAGCACCGGCUAACUACGUGCCAGCAGCCGCGGUAAUACGUAGGUGGCAAGCGUUAUCCGGAAUUAUUGGGCGUAAAGGGUGCGUAGGCGGCGAGAUAAGUCUGAGGUAAAAGCCCGUGGCUCAACCACGGUAAGCCUUGGAAACUGUCUGGCUGGAGUGCAGGAGAGGACAAUGGAAUUCCAUGUGUAGCGGUAAAAUGCGUAGAUAUAUGGAGGAACACCAGUGGCGAAGGCGGUUGUCUGGCCUGUAACUGACGCUGAAGCACGAAAGCGUGGGGAGCAAAUAGGAUUAGAUACCCUAGUAGUCCACGCCGUAAACGAUGAGAACUAAGUGUUGGGGAAACUCAGUGCUGCAGUUAACGCAAUAAGUUCUCCGCCUGGGGAGUAUGCACGCAAGUGUGAAACUCAAAGGAAUUGACGGGGGCCCGCACAAGCGGUGGAGUAUGUGGUUUAAUUCGACGCAACGCGAAGAACCUUACCAGGCCUUGACAUGGUAUCAAAGGCCCUAGAGAUAGGGAGAUAGUUAUGGUACACACAGGUGGUGCAUGGUUGUCGUCAGCUCGUGUCGUGAGAUGUUGGGUUAAGUCCCGCAACGAGCGCAACCCUUGUUUCUAGUUACCAACAGUAAGAUGGGGACUCUAGAGAGACUGCCGGUGACAAACCGGAGGAAGGUGGGGAUGACGUCAAAUCAUCAUGCCCCUUAUGGCCUGGGCUACACACGUACUACAAUGGCGUCUACAAAGAGCAGCGAGCAGGUGACUGUAAGCGAAUCUCAUAAAGGACGUCUCAGUUCGGAUUGAAGUCUGCAACUCGACUUCAUGAAGUCGGAAUCGCUAGUAAUCGCGGAUCAGCAUGCCGCGGUGAAUACGUUCUCGGGCCUUGCACACACCGCCCGUCAA